rnacentral:rRNA from 1 species
AUACGUAGGUGGCAAGCGUUGUCCGGAUUUACUGGGCGUAAAGAGCGCGCAGGCGGCCAAGUAAGUCGAAUGUGAAAGCCCCCGGCUCAACUGGGGAAGGUCAUUCGAUACUGUUUGGCUUGAAGAUAGGAGAGGGAAGUGGAAUUUCAGGUGUAGUGGUGAAAUGCGUAGAUAUCUGAAGGAACACCAGUGGCGAAGGCGACUUUCUGGCCUAUUCUUGACGCUGAGGCGCGAAAGCUAGGGGAGCGAACGGGAGUAGAAACCCCAGUAGUCC